GGUGGGAUGCCAGAGCGGCUGAAUGGACCGGUUUUGAAAACCGGCGUCGGUGCAAGCCGACCGGGGGUUCGAAUCCCUCUCCCACCG
rnacentral:tRNA from 1 species